AAUGAACGUUGGCGGCGUGGAUUAGGCAUGCAAGUCGUGCGAGAACCGUAGCAAUACGGGGACAGCGGCGAAAGGGAGAGUAACGCGUGGAUACCUACCCCCAGGACCAGGAUAGCCGCGGGAAACUGCGGGUAAUACUGGAUAAUGUCUCCGGACCAAAGGUGUGAUUCCGCCCGGGGAUGGGUCCGCGUCCUAUUAGCUAGUUGGUAGGGUAAUGGCCUACCAAGGCAAAGAUGGGUAUGGGGUGUGAGAGCAUGCCCCCACUCACUGGGACUGAGACACUGCCCAGACACCUACUGGUGGCUGCAGUCGAGGAUGUUCGGCAAUGGGCGCAAGCCUGACCGAGCGACGCCGCGUGCGGGAUGAAGGCCUUCGGGUUGUAAACCGCUGUCAGAGGGGAGGAAAUGCCGUGGGGUUCUCUCCACGGUUUGACCUAUCCUCAGAGGAAGGACGGGCUAAGUUCGUGCCAGCCGCCGCGGUAAGAC
rnacentral:rRNA from 1 species